CGAGUGGGCAAAGUAGGUCCACAGGUCUAGACGCGCUGUUAAAUUGGACGGCUUCGUUCCUUCCCCCCAAACUUCGCUCUCUAGUCUCUGUGUGACGCAGCCGGCGAUGGCAUACCCACCGCCGUACGAUUCAUACUACCUCCACCAGAACCAACAAGGGGCGGAGUACGGCGGGGGAUUCAAUAAAGACAUCAACACGCUGUUCGUGUCGGGCCUUCCCGACGACGUCAAAGCCCGCGAGAUUCACAACCUCUUUCGUCGCCGUCCUGGCUUCGAUUUUUGCCAGCUCAAGUAUACUGGCCGCGGCAAUCAGGUUGUUGCUUUUGCCACCUUUGUUAAUCAUCAAUCAGCAAUGGCAGCUCUGCAUGCACUGAAUGGUGUAAAAUUUGAUCCUCAAACUGGUUCUGUUCUCCAUAUUGAAUUGGCCAGAUCAAAUUCAAGGAGAAAAAGGAAACCAGGAAGUGGAGCCUAUGUUGUCAUUGACAAUAGAACAAAAACCUCAAGUGAUGCCCAUGAAACAUCAAGUGAUGGUGAUAGCGAAUUUGAUGAACCUUCUGGGACCAAUGAACCUGAUUCUGGGGACAAAAGUGAUUUAGCAAUUGCAAAAAGUGGUGAGACAGUAGUUGAUCCUGAAAAUGCUGUAGCCUCCAAGAAAGGUACUAUUUUUCAGCAUUCUUGCCCUCAUACUUCCCAACAAAAUGGAAGGGUUGAACGUAAACAUCGUCACAUUUUAGAUUCUGUCCAUGCUCUUCUUCUUUCUACCUUUUGUCCUGAAAAGUUUUGGGAGAAGCAGCUUUAAAUGUUGUAUAUGCCAUUAACUGCAUUCCUACUCAGCUCCUUUAAAAUUUGUCUCCUUUUGAAUGCUUAUAUGGUCAACCUCCUGAUUACUUUGUUCUCAGACCUUUCGGUUGUGCUUGUUUUGUCCUUUUACAACUUUAUGAACAUACAAAAUUAGAACCUUGGGCUCGUCUGUUGUUUUCUUGGUUAUGGGGUAGAACAUAAAGGUUAUUGUUGUUGGGAUCCUAUCUCCAAUCAUUUACGUAUCUCCAAACAUGUCACCUUCUGGGAACAUACCAUGUUUUCCUCCUCGUCAAAUUUCCAUCAGUCUUUCACUAUUCCCUCUCCAUUCUUCACUGAUAUGUUGAGUUGUUCCCAAGUUCUGAUACCGCUAGCUCUGAAGUGCUCCGUAAUCCUCCUAUCUCUGCACCUCUUCUUGUAGAGGAUGUUCCGAUUGCUGAUACUACUCCUGAAGCCACUCCCAUCUUCAUCAUUCCACUCAGGUAAGAGAAACUCCCCUUCAUCUGUAUGACUACCAUUGUUUUUCUGCUAUUGUAACUUACAUGGGCCUCACUCUUAUCAUGAGCCGGUACUGACCCCUUCUGGCAGCAAGCUAUGGUUGAAGAGCUUCAGGCUCUAGAGAAAACUCAAUACUUGGGAUUUGGUUGAUCUUCCUACUGGAGACAGAAAAGGUCGUUGAUGGUGUCUUGCCAUGUUCCACAUUAUUCAUUGCAAAUCUAGGUCCAAAUUGCACUGAGAAUGAGCUGAAGCAAGUUCUAUCUCAAUAUUCUGGGUUUAAGGUGCUGAAGGUGCGUGCUAGAGGUGGAAU